rnacentral:rRNA from 1 species
CGCGCAGGCGGUCGUUCAAGUCGAGUGUGAAAGCCCCCGGCUCAACUGGGGAGGGUCACUCGAUACUGAUCGACUCGAAGGCAGGAGAGGGAAGCGGAAUUCCCGGUGUAGUGGUGAAAUGCGUAGAUAUCGGGAGGAACACCAGUGGCGAAGGCGGCUUCCUGGCCUGUUCUUGACGCUGAGGCGCGAAAGCUAGGGGAGCAAACG